GAUGGACACAGUCGUGUAUGCCUGUAGUCCCAACUACUCAGGAGGCUGAAGUGGGAGGAUCACUUGAGCCCAGGAGUUCUGGGCUGCAAUGCGCUAUGCUGACUGGGUGUCUGCACUAAGUUUGGCACCAAUAUGGUGACUUCCAGGGAACGGGAACCACCAGGUUGCCUAAGGAGGGGUGAACCAUCCUAGGUCGGAAACAGAGCAGGUCAAAACUGCCGUGCUGAUUCAGUAGUGGGAUCGUGCCUGUGAAUAGCUACUGUACUCCAGGCUAAGCAACAUAGCGAGACCCUGUCUUUA
ensembl:misc_RNA Metazoa_SRP Metazoan signal recognition particle RNA